AUCGCUUCUUGGCCUUUUGGCUAAGAUCAUGUGUAGUAUAUUGCUCUGACAUGUAUUGAGGCCCCAACAAGGACCCAACCUGAUUAUUUGAAACUAAUGGCCCAGUGCACAGAUUUGUGCACACUGAAAGAAAAUUAAUUGGAAGAAAGAUUCGUGUGGUAAUUACAUUAUUGCAAAUAAUU